rnacentral:rRNA from 1 species
CCAACAGGGAUUGCCUCAGUAACGGCGAGUGAAGCGGCAAGAGCUCAGAUUUGAAAUCCUGUACGUUAGCGUGCACGAGUUGUAAUCUGCAGAGAAUGUUUCGGCUGAGACACCGGUCAAAAUUCCUUGGAAUAGGAUUACACAGAGGGUGAGAAUCCCGUAUCCGGCUGGCGGUCAAGGCUAUGUGAAACUUCUUCGACGAGUCGAGUUGUUUGGGAAUGCAGCUCUAACUGGGUGGUAAAUUCCAUCUAAAGCUAAAUAUCUGCGAGAGACCGAUAGCGCACAAGUAGAGUGAUCGAAAGAUGAAAAGCACUUUGAAAAGAGAGUUAAAAAGUACGUGAAAUUGUUGAAAGGGAAGCGCUU